rnacentral:rRNA from 1 species
GACGAACCGUGCGAACGUUAUUCGGAAUCACUGGGCUUAAAGCGCGUGUAGGCGGAUGGGAACGUCGGUCGUUGAAUCCCCGGCUCAACCGGGAAGUGGCGCCGAAACGACCCGUCUGGAGGGACGUAGGGGACCUGGAACUUCCGGUGGAGCGGUGAAUGCGUUGAGAUCGGAAGGAACACCUGUGGCGAAGCGGCUCACUGGACCACAACUGACGCUGAGGCGCGAAGCCAGGGAGCAAGCGGG